rnacentral:rRNA from 1 species
GAUGAACGCUGGCGGCGUGCCUAAUACAUGCAAGUCGAGCGAACAGACGAGGAGCUUGCUCCUCUGACGUUAGCGGCGGACGGGUGAGUAACACGUGGAUAACCUACCUAUAAGACUGGGAUAACUUCGGGAAACCGGAGCUAAUACCGGAUAAUAUAUUGAACCGCAUGGUUCAAUAGUGAAAGACGGUUUUGCUGUCACUUAUAGAUGGAUCCGCGCCGCAUUAGCUAGUUGGUAAGGUGACGGCUUACCAAGGCAACGAUGCGUAGCCGACCUGAGAGGGUGAUCGGCCACACUGGAACUGAGACACGGUCCAGACUCCUACGAGAGGCAGCAGUAGGGAAUCUUCCGCAAUGGGCGAAAGCCUGACGGAGCAACGCCGCGUGAGUGAUGAAGGUCUUCGGAUCGUAAAACUCUGUUAUUAGGGAAGAACAAAUGUGUAAGUAACUAUGCACGUCUUGACGGUACCUAAUCAGAAAGCCACGGCUAACUACGUG